UUUCAUUUGCUUAUUUUUAAUUUUUAUAUCUAUUAUUUCUUAAGAUUUUCUCGUAUUCGCACGAUCUUGCUCUACGCGACGACUUUCGUCUGAAAAAAUAUUUCAGCCUUUACAAUCACCGCACGAUGAAAAAAGAAACAAGAAAAAAAAAAAGAGGAAAAACUACGCGACCGAUUUGUACCACAUUUUGGAAGUAAUAUCGUGAAAAAAAUGUAAUAUCGGAACAUGAUGAUUCAGGUUCACUUGGAAACACUCGACACACGAGGUUGAACCGAUACGAACUUAAUCUUGAAAGAAAAAUGGGAGGAAGAAUUCGGAGCUUUUUCAAUGAUACAGUAAAACGAAUCUCAGCGUUAAAAUUUGUGAUUGUUUUUAUGCAUUUCGGUGAAAGUCGGGCAUGGCCAAUGUUGUGCAGGUGAAAAAAAAAAAAAAUACGCAAAAGAAAAUGUUGCAGGGAUGAAAUACCGGAGAGAGGCUGCCGACGCUGAGGAAGUUGUUGAAAAAACAAUGAGGAGUUUGAAUCAAGCCGGGUGAAGUUCUUUUUCUUAUUUGGAGCCACUCGACGAUCGUAACCAACAACAAUAACAACAUCAACAACAACAAGCACAAGAACAACAACAACAACAACAACAGCAACCACAACAACAACAACAAUGGGGAAUCUACGCUGCUGAUGAUUCGCAUUCCUGUGUUCAAAGUAGAUACAAACGGGCCAUAAAAACUUCUGAAAAGGAUCGUCAAUGUUGGACCGUUUGGAGAAGAAUCGAAGGCCGUAGGCUCACGAUUUUUUGAAUUCUUGAGCCAAAAAUGAAAUAGUUUUGCUACUGAUUGAAAGCAAUCUUCUGAUGUCUGUCGAACCCGACCGAAAGACGGAUCCGUCCAGCCAAUAAGCAAGGAGAAAGAUUGGCAUUCCACGGAGCGGUACCGCCUCAUUAUUUGAAAUACAAGACUGUAUGUGUACCUGCAAGAUCGUGGCGCAUCUACAAAGCCUAUACUGAAAAAUUGGUUGAUCCCACUUAGCAACUCAAUGACAUUACUUACUACACUAUCAAUCAUAUAGCUAUGAAUGACAUACUUCUUUCUUAUAAAAUAACAAAAUGUGGUUUUGUGAAUGCAUCUACAGUAUGGGAAACAUUGUAAUGAUAAUUG